UACGUAGGUGGCGAGCGUUGUCCGGCUUUACUGGGCGUAAAGGGCGUGCAGGCGGUUUGUUAAGUGCAGGGUGAAAGCUCCCGGCUCAACUGGGAGAGGUCCUUGCAUACUGGCGAACUCGAGGGAGGCAGAGGAAAGUGGAAUUCCCGGUGUAGUGGUGAUAUGCGUAGAUAUCGGGAGGAACACCUGUGGCGAAGGCGGGUCUCUGGGCCGAUACUGACGCUGAGGAGCGAAAGCGUGGGGAGCGAACAGG
rnacentral:rRNA from 1 species